UAUCUGAGCGUUGAUCCUGCCAGUAGUCAUAAUGCUUGUCUCAAAGAUUAAGCCAUGCAUGUCUAAGUACAAACCUUAAUACGGUGAAAACCGCGAAUGGCUCAUUAAAUCAGCUAUGGUUCCUUAGAUCGUCUCAUCCUACUCGGAUAACUGUGGAAAAUCUAGAGCUAAUACGUGCUUACAAGCCCUGACCUCACGGGAGGGCCGCAUUUAUUAGAUCAAAACCAAUCGGGGCUUGCCCGCGUCUGCUUGGUGACUCUGGAUAACUUUUGUGCUGAAUCGCAUGGCCUCUGCGCUGGCGACGUAUCUUUCAAGAGUGUCUGCCCUAUCAACUUACGAUGGUAGGCUGAUAUGCCUACCAUGGUUAUAACGGGUAACGGGGAAUCAGCGGUUUCGAUUCCGGAGAGGGAGCCUGAGAAACGGCUACCACAUCUAAGGAAGGCAGCAGGGCGCCGCAAAUUACCCACUCCCGGCACGGGGAUGGUAGUGACGAAAAAUAACGAUACGGGACUCUUUUGAGGCCCGUAAUUGGAAUGAGUACACUCUUUAAAUCCGUUAACAAGAUAUCUAUUGGAGCGGCAAGGUCUGGUGCCAGCAGCCGCGGCGUAUUAUUCGCAGCUCCAAUAUAGCGUAUAUAUUAGUGUUGCUGCAGUUAAAAAAGCUACGUAGUUGGAUCUGAGGACUCGAAUUGUGGCUGUUGACCAUAUAGCGGUGUUACUGCCGAUUCGGCCUACCUAGUCGGUGCUCGCCUCUUGGUUGUUCUGUAUUGAAUGCCCUGAGUGCCCGCAAGUUUACUUUGAAAAAUUAGAGUGCUCUCAAGCAGGCCAUUAGCCGGAUAUACUUCAGCAUGGAAUUAAUGGAAUAGGACUUCGGUUCUAUUCUUGUUGGUGGAUUUUCGGAACCCGAGGUAAUGAUUAGAGAGACAGACGGGCGGGCAUUUCGUACUGCGGUGUUAGAGGUGAAAUUCUUGGAUCGCCGCAAGACGAACAACUGCGAAAGCAUUUGCCAAGAAUGUUUUCAUUAAUCAAGAACGAAAGUCAGAGGUUCGAAGACGAUCAGAUACCGUCCUAGUUCUGACCAUAAACGAUGCCAACUGGCGCAUCGGCGAGAUCGUUUUGCUUAUUGACCUUUCUCGCGGCAGCCUCCGGGAAACCAAAG
rnacentral:ncRNA from 1 species